UACGUAGGGUGCGAGCGUUAAUCGGAAUUACUGGGCGUAAAGCGUGCGCGGGCGGUGAUGUAAGACAGGUGUGAAAUCCCCGGGCUUAACCUGGGAACUGCAUUUGUGACUGCAUCGCUAGAGUUUGGCAGAGGGGGGGGUAGAAUUCCACGUGUAGCAGUGAAAUGCGUAGAUAUGUGGAGGAACACCGAUGGCGAAGGCAGCCCCCUGGGUCGAAAACUGACGCUCAUGCACGAAAGCGUGGGGAGCAAACAGGG
rnacentral:rRNA from 1 species